AUGGUCGGUUCCGGUCAAUGUUUUGACCGGUGAAAAGGGAAACGGGUGAAAAUCCCGCGCGAACUCGUCACUGUGAUCAGAUAUGUUCCUUUCAUGUAAGCUUUAGAAAAGUUGUGCUGAUAGUUGUACAUCAAAAAGAGCUUACAGUCACUGAGAAAUCGGGAAGGCGGAAGGAAACGAGAUCUGUAAGCCAGGAGACCUGCCGGUCGGAA
rnacentral:ncRNA from 1 species